GUACUCACUUUGACAGCACACAUACUAAAAUUGGAAUGAUACAGAGAACAUUAGCAUAGCCCCUGUGCAAGGAUAACACACAAAUUCACAAAGCAUUCCUUAUUUCC
ensembl:snRNA U6 U6 spliceosomal RNA